UAAAUUAAAAUUUUGACGAUGAUUUAUGCUAGACCGCGCCGGGCCCAAGCCGUGCCGCAUCCGAGACACACAGAUCGGAAAAUGUAUGAGGUCACAUAAGACCGUGCCAUGUCCGAAUCUUCCGAGCCUCGUCCGUGUUACGUUUCUUCAUACAAAAUUGCAAUCCGUGGAUCGUCGGCGCGUCGGACGUGCCUCGAACGUGGCACGGCUCAUUCCCGGCACGGUCUAGCAUAAAUCAUCCC